rnacentral:misc_RNA from 1 species
UUAUAAAUUCAAGAUGGCCGCCGCUACAAGAUGGCGGAUAAUUUAUGUUUUAUUAAUCCCAUCAAUAUGGGUAUCAAAUGAAAGGGCUCAACAAGCAGAAUACAAUAUACUAUAAAAAAUUGAAAUCCAAGAUGGCGGCCGCUACAAAAUGGCGGAUAACUUAGGUUUUAUCAAUCCCAUCAAUAUGGGUAUCAAAUGAAAGGGCUCAACAAGCAGAAUACAAUAUACUAUAAAAAACUGAAAUACAAGAUGCUGGCCGCCGCUACCAAAUGUCUGAUAACAAUUUUUUAUCAAUCCCACCAAUAUGGGUAUCAAAUAAAAG